GGAAGAGCAGGGGCAGGGCGUGCCUUUCCAGCUCGCCUCAGAACUGAAGGAGGCAGAGGUGUCCUGUCCGGGGUUGUGCACUGUGGCCAGCGGGGAGCAGCAAAGACCUGGUAAAACCUUGGGAGAGGAGAGAAUGACCCAAGCUAGAGACAGAGAUGCUGCUAGAACUCGGGAUGCCCAGGAGUUCAGGGGUCUUGGGCACAAAUUCCAGGCCUCUUCUACCCAAGCAAGUUACUGAUUUUCGCCAAACCUAUUUCUAAAAUAGAUACAAUAAAAACGACCUUUUUGCUUUU